GUCCUCACUAGGAGCUUCUUGACUCCAUUGCACGACAUUUAAGUCGGCAUUAUCUCUAGCCUGUCGUCUAGUUAUGGCUUCAACAUGAAUUGAACCCAUAAGAUCAUCGAUGUUUAGGGUUUCACCAUUGAUGGCAGCUUGUUUUGCCAGUGAAUCGGCUAAGUCAUUACCAUCCUUGUCAAUACCUUCUAUUUUAGAAUGGCCUUUGGUUUUCUUCCAAUAUAUGGUUAAACCAUUUUCCU
rnacentral:lncRNA from 1 species